AUGUAAAGAAUCCAUUCAAACUUUUUGUUGAUAAUUUUAGCCUUAAGAGUGCAGUUUGAGAAGCUCCCAUUGACUGAAUCUUAUCUGAAUUUCCGUAAUUAAACUAGGGUAUUCUGUUCGGAGCUAUUCACGUAGGCCACAUUGAAAUGUCCUUUUCUAUGCCAACGUCGUUCAUAACAACAAAAUGGAGCUUUUGAUAGCAAAAUACUUAAUCAUUUCAAAUAUAGAAGAAUGAAAUAUCACCGUAUGCACAUCGCUAUAAUGACAAAAAGACGACGAAUUGUGCAACAGCGCUAUCUGUAACUACCCUGUAAUCUCCCUUUACUAUUGAAAUUACAUUCAUUUUGAGUGAUUUUCUUAAGCUGUCAGAACAAUCAAGGGGGAAAAGUUGUUGGAAUUUUCAGUUUACACAUCUAGAGUCUUAAAUUUGCUAUGGAUUGCUUCAGGAAUAUCCCACAGUAUUUUCAAAACACUGCAUACAAAGGACUCAUCACAGGCUCAAUACAGGAGAGGUAAGAACCAACUGACGCACUCACAAUGUCAGGCGAACAAACGAGGAGAAAAAAGACCAGAGAGAGA